rnacentral:rRNA from 1 species
AGUGAACGCUGGCGGUAGGCCUAACACAUGCAAGUCGAACGGCAGCACAGUAAGAGCUUGCUCUUACGGGUGGCGAGUGGCGGACGGGUGAGGAAUACAUCGGAAUCUACUUUUUCGUGGGGGAUAACGUAGGGAAACUUACGCUAAUACCGCAUACGACCUACGGGUGAAAGCAGGGGAUCUUCGGACCUUGCGCGAUUGAAUGAGCCGAUGUCGGAUUAGCUAGUUGGCGGGGUAAAGGCCCACCAAGGCGACGAUCCGUAGCUGGUCUGAGAGGAUGACAGCCAACAUUGGAACUGAGACACGGUCCAGACCCCUACGGGAGGCGGCAGUGGGGAAUAUUGCACAAGGGGCGAAAGCUUGACCCAGCAAUCCCGGGUGGGGGAAGAAGGCUUUCGGUUUUUAAAGCUUUUUUGUGGGAAAAAAAAAAAAGCGGUUUAAUCCCCCGCUGUCCUGAGGUUACCAAAAAAAAAAGCCCGGGCUAACUUGGUG